GCAGCAAGGAGCUGACUUCCCAAGAAGGGCAAGGCAGCAGCAUUAUCCUGAUCAUAUUCCAAGGAAGUAAAACGACUAUCUUGAGGAAACCCCAGAAUACGGGUUUAUUUCUAAAGAAACAGUCAGAAUUUCCAAACAUCAGUGGAAGGAAAAGACUGUGGAGGAGGAGAACACUUGAUUAUCACUGUAAUACCAACAAUAAUUUUGCCAGUACUGAAUAGACCCAAUCAGGAAACCAACCCCCCAGGACUGUGCCACCUCCCAGUCACAGCCACAGUCCAGAGAUGGGAAAUUCCCACCUGGCAGAUGAUCCAGGCUUACCACCAGAUCCACUCUCACACGCAUGGGGGGCAGAAAGAGAAGACAAGGAGAAGGAAAAGCAGAGAUGUCACAACAUAAGGAAGACCCUGAGCUCCAUCUUGCUGUUAGGAGUUAUGGUCUUUGAACUGGAUGAAGGCUGUUUGCUGGACAGCCUAAUAGGGGAGCCUCCUCUCUGGUACAUGCUGUACUCCCUGCUACUUGGAAAGGAUCUCCCUGUCCAGCGUCAGAGAGAGAAACACUAUCACCACUAAUGGGGCUCUGUGGGGCCAAACCAGAAGGAAGAUGAACACUUUAAAUGCAUGGCUGUGAUUUGAAGAGCAUUUAUUAUUUAGAAACUUACUUCUACAAGAAAUAUAAUCUAUGCUGUUUUUUCUGGAAAGAUCUUCAACACACCUACGCUAUACAUAUGUCCACCCAAUAAAAUGUUAUUAAUCA